CAGUUGUGUGUGUGAGCAUUUCAGUUGUGUGUGUGAGCACGUUUCAGUUGUGUGUGAGAGCGCGUUUCAGUUGUGUGUGUGAGCGCGUUUCAGUUGUGUGUGUGAGCGCGUUUCAGUUGUGUGUGUGAGCGCGUUUCACUUGUGUGUGUGAGCGCGUUUCACUUGUGUUUGUGUGUGAGAGCAUUUCACUUGUGUGUGUGAGCGCGUUUCAGUUUUGUGUGUGUGAGAGCGUUUCACUUGUGUGUGUGAGCGCGUUUCAGUUGUGUGUGUGAGCAUAAUAAUUUCAUAUGUGAAUGAAUUUAGUUUCAUAUGUGUAUGUGCAUGGUAAUUCUGAAUAAUGUCCCUAGGG